UUUGAUCCUGGCUCGGGACGAACGCUGGCGGCGUGCCUAAUACAUGCAAGUAGAACGCUGAAGAGAGGAGCUUGCUCUUCUUGGAUGAGUUGCGAACGGGUGAGUAACGCGUAGGUAACCUGCCUUGUAGCGGGGGAUAACUAUUGGAAACGAUAGCUAAUACCGCAUAACAAUGAAUGACACAUGUCAUUUAUUUGAAAGGGGCAAUUGCUCCACUACAAGAUGGACCUGCGUUGUAUUAGCUAGUAGGUGAGGUAACGGCUCACCUAGGCGACGAUACAUAGCCGACCUGAGAGGGUGAUCGGCCACACUGGGACUGAGACACGGCCCAGACUCCUACGGGAGGCAGCAGUAGGGAAUCUUCGGCAAUGGGGGCAACCCUGACCGAGCAACGCCGCGUGAGUGAAGAAGGUUUUCGGAUCGUAAAGCUCUGUUGUAAGUCAAGAACGAGUGUGAGAGUGGAAAGUUCACACUGUGACGGUAGCUUACCAGAAAGGGACGGCUAACUACGUGCCAGCAGCCGCGGUAAUACGUAGGUCCCGAGCGUUGUCCGGAUUUAUUGGGCGUAAAGCGAGCGCAGGCGGUUUGAUAAGUCUGAAGUUAAAGGCUGUGGCUCAACCAUAGUUCGCUUUGGAAACUGUCAAACUUGAGUGCAGAAGGGGAGAGUGGAAUUCCAUGUGUAGCGGUGAAAUGCGUAGAUAUAUGGAGGAACACCGGUGGCGAAAGCGGCUCUCUGGUCUGUAACUGACGCUGAGGCUCGAAAGCGUGGGGAGCGAACAGGAUUAGAUACCCUGGUAGUCCACGCCGUAAACGAUGAGUGCUAGGUGUUGGAUCCUUUCCGGGAUUCAGUGCCGCAGCUAACGCAUUAAGCACUCCGCCUGGGGAGUACGACCGCAAGGUUGAAACUCAAAGGAAUUGACGGA
rnacentral:rRNA from 1 species